GGAUGUGAGGGCGAUCUGGUUGGAACAUCUAUCACCCCAUUGAUUACCAGGGUUGAUUCAGUUGAUCUGGCUGACUAGGCGAGUGUACCUUUCUUCCCUUACCACUCCACGCGCUACCCUCCUGAAGCUGCAUGCUUGGUUGAAGAGGACGACCAUCCCUGCUAGAGGAGGAUCAUUCUUCAGGCAAGGGUAUACAAGUAGCUGCGCUCCCCUGCUAGAACCUGCAAACAAGCUCUAAAAUUAACCAUUAAUCAUUCCACUUCAAAACCACUCCAUCUCAUAUCUGUUAAUAAUAAUUCAG
rnacentral:snRNA from 1 species